rnacentral:tRNA from 1 species
CCGGGUGUAGCGCAGUUGGUAGCGCGCCUGCUUUGGGAGCGUGGCAGCGUUCAUCCGACCUGCCGGAGUCAAAAUGCCCGAACCCCUUGACACACGGGCGUUUGCGAGUUUUCCGCAUUUUUCGGAAUCACCCGAA